GAUGACAAGUACCAAUAAACAUUAUAGAAGACAAAUCAUUUUCAUACAAGAUUUUGCACCUUAGUUGAAUUUAUUUGAGUCAAUUAUAGAAAAAGCCCACUAUUAAUUUAGGGUUUGUAACUCUUUCGAAUCUUUUCUUAUAGAGUCGUUUCUCCUCCCUUUCUCUCUACCCUUUCACCUUCUCCAGCCAGAACAUCCUCUCCUCCCAUGGUUUCUCUGCAACCUAAAACUCUGUCGCUGCCAAUGGUAGUGUUGUUCACGUACAUGUGGUUUGGCAGCAUGAACAAAACAUAGACCCCAGAAAGCUUAAAGGGCCAGUUCUUUCUCUCUUCUUUUCUUUAACCUACCUAAAUACUUCCUUUUUCUUUUCCAUAUCGCAAAGAUGUUGUGUAGGUGAUUUCAAGUCGUUUGUCUGCUCAGAAAUUAAGAGUCAGGAAGCUUCAACAUCUUUGUGAUAUGGAAAAGAAGGUGGAGUCCUUAGAGUUGUUGUCCUCUCCUCUGCUGCAAAUCAAACAAAACAAUGGUGGAUGGUAAGACACUUCAACUCUUAUUUUCUCACUUUUAUUACUUAAACUAAAGAAAAUGGAACAACAUCAAUUGUUAAGGAAAGAAAAUGAAAAUAUAGUUAUGUGUAAGGUUUUUGCAUUGUUGGUCCUGUUUUUGAAAGGUGUGUUGUGAGAUAAUGUAAAUUUGAGUAGUUGUGCUUCCGUUUCAUGAUAUCAAUUUGUUUAAUUUAGAAAACUACAAAAACAGGUAUUGAUUUGGAACCCAUCGUGUUGAGUAUUUUCUGUUUAUUCAUUUAAAGCUGUUGUUGGUUGGAAAGCAUCUGAGAGGCGAUGUUUUACAUGCACGACCAGGUUGGUAAUGUUGAAAUUUUGAUUUGUUACAUUUUCCAAGCAUCCUUCACUCCAUCUUUAUUUAUGUCCUGAUAUGAGGAAACAACCAUUUCUGUUGCUACUUAAAAAAACGUAUUAAGAGAAACAAACUUACCAGUCCCUCAAAUAUGCUGCCUGCUUUACUCAAGUAGGUGGAAACAUUAAGAAAUGAUUUUGAGGCAGAGAAAUGGUGUCACACGUAGACAAGAAAACUUUGUUCAUAUUUGGGUUGACUCCACUCCAUUGCUUACUGAACCAUCAAUUGAAGGGAAUAACAAAACAAUGUCAGAUUGUCAAGUUUUAAUACAUGCAUUAACCAAAGCUUGGGAAGAAAAUGUUGUCCAAUAGCCAGCAAGGCCAAAAUGGAAGUUUUCCUGGGACUAGAAAAAAAGGGCUUUGGUUGUUCAUAUGGUACUACUAGUGUUAGUUUAAAUUUAUUUCUUUUUCAUUUUUAAAAUGAAGACAUGACAAAGAACAAGUGUAAGUUAUAUGAAUGCUUGUUAUGUAGGAAAUCAUAUGCCAUCAACUUGUUGAAAUCUAUAGUGUUGCUUCUUUGAAAAUUGGUAUGGAGAUCUAAAUUAAUCAAUAUUGGUAUGUCCACUUCUUCACCUACCGAGUUAGAAAUGGGUGUACUCCUACACAAGGAAAACCUUUGGCCAUCAACAGUUCAUAAGUAAAAUAAACGUUACACUCCCAGAAGCAUGGUUUUUAUAUUAAUGUUCUUAGAUCAAAUGCAAAAUGGUUAAUUUGAGUUGGACCCAUUACGAUGUUUACCACGACACAUUGGUUAAGGAAACCAAAUUAUAUCUCCCAUGUUUCAUAUGAACAAGCUUUUGCCUAGAAAGACCUCGACUCCACUGCCAUUGCUUGGCCACUUUGACAAAAAUUCCUUCUCUCUCCCAUUCGGUGAUUUUUUUUUCUUUUGUGAACAAAAAAAUUAUUUUCCCUGCUUCAGGGGCUGUGUUUAUUUUUGUCGUAUUGGAAGUAAAAUAUGACUAAGGCAGGGAAGAGCUGAAGACGAAAGAAGAAAUUAAAUAUGAAGACUCCAUAAUUUCUUCUCUCA